rnacentral:miRNA from 1 species
UGGAUGAUGGGCAAAGAACUGC